GGCGGAGCGGGAGAAAGGGGUUGUGGGUGGCCCCUGAAGUGGCAAAAGCUGACGAGAGGCUCGGAGCCGUGGCCUCCUCGCAGCCCACGUUUUCCUCCCUCCCGUACACAUGAAACCCUCAUCAGCUCUUCAGACGGGGUUUCUCGCUUUUAUUCUUGCCCAUCUGGACAGAUAUUUCCAGUCUUCUUGUAAUGGCAAGAUCAGCAUCAUCACAUCCCCAUGGAUGUGAUCAGUAAGAUAACAGUCAAGUCUCCAGCAGCUAACAAGAAAGAAAUGCAAGCUUUCCUAGGCAUAAUGGGUUUCUGGCGACUGCAUGUUGUGAGUCAGAGCUUGUGAGUUGUCUUUAUCAAGUGACCUGAAAAAAGAACUUUUGAGGUGUAUUGGGGUUUCAUGGCAAGGUUCUGGUAGCAAGAGGACAACAGGAGUAGCUUCUGUGAGAAGAUGCCAGAGGCUUCCCCCAUGUCCAAUAGACCAAAUGCAGCCAGUUCCAAGAUAGACCCACUGCUGGUCAAGGCUGAGCGCAUCUGUGAUAGUGAUCACAGAUAUUUAUUUGAUACAAUAUGUUUAAGGGGAAAAAAAGCCAUGCUGCAUAGUGGCUGAGAGAAGUGUGAGAAAAUGUGAGAGAAACAACUGCAGAGAAAAAGGAGGGGGAGGAUCUACUGCAGGCAUUGGAGCAGAAGUUCCCCUGCAGCCUGUGGUGCAGCCCAUAGUGAGGCCCUGCCCUUGCAGCCAUGGAAGCCACAGGAGAGGAGAGACCUACCAGCGACCCUAUGCUGUAGCAGGUGAAUGUGCCUAAAGAAGACUGAUCCUAUGGGAAGACUGUGCUGGAGCAGGCUCCUGGCAGGACCUGUGAAACCUUAGGAAGAGAGGCCCACGAGUCAGGUUUUCUGUCAGGAUUUAGGACUCUGUAGGGGACCCACACCAGAGCAGAUGGUGGACUGAAGCCUGUGGGAAGAACCAACGUUGGAAAAGUUUGUGGAGAAUCAUCUCCAGUGGAAGGGACCCCAUACAGAAUCAGGGGAAGAGAGGGAGGAGGAAGGAGCAAGCAGAGACGUGUGAUAUACUGACUGCAACCCCCGUUCGUCAUGCCUCUGAGCCACUUGCAUGGAGGAGAUGUAGAAAAUCAGAAUUUAUUAAUUUCCCCAAGUCAAGUCUGUUCUGCCCGUGACGGUAAUUGAUGAGUGAUCUUUCCCUGUCCUUAACUCAACCCAUAAGCCUUUCCUGAUAUUUACUCUCUCCUGCCCAGCGUAGGAGGGGGACUGCAAGUUUCCAAGGGGUGGGCAAGAGACUGGGAAGGAACACUGACAGGACUGUUAACUUGAAUUGGCCAAAGGAGAAUUCCAUGCCAUAAAACAUGAACCUCAGCAAGAAAACUUGGGACAGAAGAAGAAUGAUUGGUCUUUUGUCUUCCAAGUUCCCAUUUUCUGGAUGGUGGUGGCAACCAGAAGAGACUGAAAGAGAAAGGAGGCUUGAAGAAAAAGAAAGCAAACAAAAUGAAAUGCAGAAGCCAGAUCUUUUUUUUUCUCUCUUUAGUUAAAUUAUUGCCAAUACAUUCAUUUUAAUUCUCCAGCUUUUACUACUCUGAGUGUAGUUUUGAUGAAAGCUUUUGUUUAGAGGGUUUGUUACAGGAUGGUGAGGGUUUUGAAGUGGUAACAAGACCUCUCUGAGUAGCAAUGAACUUGCAGCAUCAGGAUGCUGUUAGAGAAGUGAAGGUGCUUCUGUCCAAGGAGAGGGAGAUGGGGGAAGAUAUAAGAGGUAGUGAGGAUGAGACUGGGUAUAUAUGGGUAGUUAAGUCAUGCUCUGUUGUUUGCUGGAGGCUGUCUGGGUUAUGCUGUGGUGUAAGAAAGGCUCAGAUCAAUAUGUGGCACCUCACUGCUGAGGCUGUCAGGAGAGGGAGGCAGAGCUGAGGGCAGGCUGCAGAGGUACAGCAGGCACCAGGUGUUUGGUCAGAGGGGCUUACAGCUCACCUGCACACACAAACAAAGCAGCACAGUGAGACAACAGUAAGAGAAGGAGCCCAAAUAAUGCCUUGACCCAGCAGCUCCCAGAAGCCAUCAGCCCAUUUCCUCAAUCCUCAAGGAGCACAAUGGCAGGUGGGGACCUAAAUGAAGUACUCACAGGAAGGGACAUCCCAAUGCAGGGUAGUUGUGACUCCUACUAUGCUGCCUGCUGAGCAGCAAACCUACUUGUGGUCCAGCAGCACAGGACAACAUUUUGUGGCACUAUUAUCAGAAUGCAUGGAAAUCAAGGACCCUCAGUCAGUGUCCCCAUUUACAUACUGCCAUUUCAGGUGUACCCCCCUUUGCCCUGCUGCACCUCUGAGGGCAUCUACUUUAUGGCAGCCCAGAGCUGCCUACCCUGGUGUUUCCCCCACCCUGCCAAUGGCCCAGAACCCCAUUUCAGCUACUAUGUUCUACCAUAAAGCCAGUGAGGAGCAACUUUGUCCAAGAGCCUUUUUUUAUUCUCUUAGCACAAAACCAUCUCUGGAUAUUUAGUCUCAUCUCCUAGGAAAACAGGGCUUACGUGUCUGCAUUGCAUGGCUGCCUUCCAUUUUUCCUUUCUCCACUGCUAAAACUUCUGCCUUACUUUGGAUUUGACAGAGAAACAAAAGUCUCAUCAAAUUGUUCCAACCUGUUUUGUUAAAAUGCUCAGCUAGCCAGGGAAGAGUGACUGUGUUGACCUCUCCAUGACAGAAAGGGGCAAUGCUUUCUCUCCUUCCAAAACUAGAACAUCACAAAGCAAAGAUGCAGGAAGGGAUAUUUCAUUACUUCUGCUCCUCACAAAAUUUAGUGGUUAAUCUUAUCAUGAAGCAUGCCCUUAGUAGUGUGAAUAUUACGCAGACUGCAAAUUGGAAACCAAACUGGACAGGAGAUUUUAUCUUGCCAGUCAGUGACUCAUAAAGACUUGGAGGGGGAAGAGAGGAUUUCAUAAUCAGCUGAGUAUGAGCUCACGAUGUGCUGUUGAUGCUGAAAAGACUAAUGCAGUCUUUGCAAAGCACAUGCACAUGGAAAUACCGAGUAGGAGUAGAGAGGUGACAUUAUCACUGCACUUGGCACUAAUACACUGUUACUAAAAUAACUUACUGUUCAGAAAAGCCAUCCAAAAACUGGAAUGGUUCAGGAAAGAUCUGGGAGAAUGAUAAAACACCUGGGGAAAUAAUAUAUUGUGGUGAGAGACCCAGACAUCAGUUUGUUUAUUUUGCCAUUGAUUUUUUCCUUGUGGGCGAUCAGAUUAGUCAGAUAUGGCAAUCACAAAGUGACAGUUAACAGAAUGAAACUACAUCUUUGGUUUUACCCUUAUUGUAGCAGGAAGGCAAAUUUAAAGUGAUUGCUGGUGUCUGCACAGCCUCAGCCUAGGAAACAUGUAGCAGCACCUCUGCUCUGCUCUAUCCAUCUGUGUAAGCAGCUUGGUCACAGCCUGGCUCUGCUCUGUUGUCAUCUGUCCUUUUCCUGCCACUUCCUUGGUCUAUUUUGACACCUUGUCUGGCAUCAGUUGCUAUGUCCUUCUCUUGUUUCUGUGCCCUUCUUUUUCUUUCAUCCCAGAAACUCCCUCCCCUUGAGAAAUUCCUCCCUCCUUUGUGAAAGCUUCCACCAUCUCACCAAACACUUCCUUUUAAAGCCCAAAAUUUCCCACAUACUGAGAAAUAUCUUGAAGUGGAUGAGUUUUUGAGCAUCUGGCCUUGUAUAGGAAAAGAAAGUAGCUAACACUCAUUGCCAUAGACACCAAACAAAAUAGUAAUCCCAUGGGUUUGGGGCACCAACCUCAGUCUUUCCCAGUUUUUAAAGACACUAAAGCUGGACAUUUUUUACUCAGUUGCUUAUUAGUUCUUUGCAGUAUGCCUUUAACUCAAUCAAUGGUUUCUCCCAAAGAGCUGGCUGUUUGCUGAUAGGUUUUACCACCACAGCAUGCUGGAGAGGUGACAUGAAGCUAUAAAACAGAAGUAAGAUUCCCUACUGGCAGUGUUUAUUGUAAGGGUGAAGUACAAUAAGAUGAAGAUACUAAAGAAUGAUGCUUGCUGAGGCCAGGUGGGUAAUGAACUUUGUACUUAUACAGGUAAUUCCAAUAUUAGUGAAAGAAUCCUAAAUCCACACAAAGAAAGAGAAGAAAGAGCAAAUGCUGACUGUUGAUGGAUGUUAAAGGAAGUCAUGGGAGGCAGGUGAAGUUGCUGCUUACCAGUGUUACCUCCUGAUGCUCUGUGUGGCUGGAAAGAAGCUGCUACCCACUCUGGAUGAAGGCAGCUUUGCCAUGCUCUGUUACAGCCUGGUUAAACCACUUUCUACAUAUCCAUUUCCUAUUUCCUGGGGACAUACACAACAUUCACUAUGCUAUGAAUAUUGUUUUGCAAUGAAUGUUAGACCUCUUGAGAUUUAAUCAUGCUUUCGUCUUGGAAACAGUGCUGGGCAAUGUGUUGCUUACUUCUGCCUUACAUACUGCAGCCAUAUGUCUUGGAUUGUGUUUGGUUUUAGGAGACAUUCUAUAGAUUGGGACACAUCAGUAAAUAUUUUACUGAUGUCUCUCUUAAAGACUUGAUGAGAACAGUAUUGAACAAAAGCAGUGCUGAUACCAGCUCAGUGCACUGAUUUCCUAGAUUAUUUCCCAAUGAGGCUGAAAAUCUGCAUAUAUUUUAUGGUGUAUCAACAGAGCAGUUGACUCCAAAACAUAUUCCAGUGGUAAGAUUUCAUGGUCUGCCACUUUUGAGAGUUGAAAAAAGGAAAAGGACAGAAGAAAUGUCAUGUCACAAGGAAGACUCUGUUGGAGUCACUGAGCACUCAGCAACAGGGUGUUUAUCGCAGUCAAUAGAUUGGGGAGUCUGUAAGAGGAAAGGAGAGACUACUAGGCAAGUUACUGCAAAACAUACAGCCUAGGGAGUACAGUUUUGUAGUCAGAUUGACAAUGUGAAUAUGUAGACAGAAUUUACAACUUGAACUGAAGGAAAACAGAACUCCAAAACUCACAUCAGUCCAACCUGGUGGAGUCCAGCAGUGAGAAUGAAAAAAAUGUAUUUUCCUGUCAUCUUUGUGGUCUUGUGAAAUCUUGAGUGUCCUCAGGGGCUGAAGGGUGGUUGUCAAUUAAGAGAUUAGCUCUGAAUGUCCAAACCUGCCUUUAAAAUGCUUGCAAAGCAGUUGUUCAUAGGAGGAGUCACUUGUUUCUUGAUACUUGGCCAUUGGGUCUGUGCUGGCAUCACAUGGACAGGUUCCUGGAAGGCUAUCAGAGUCCUGGUCUCUGUCCUUAUUUGCUUUGUAGGCAACAUUCAAAUCCUUGGUUUUAUGCAAUGCUGGAUAGUAUCCAAGCUAUAAAACCACUCUGCCUACACAAUCUUCCAUUGGGUACCAAUGCUGCCUGUGCCUUUUUCCUCUCUCUGGCAGUUGAAUUAGUCCAGGACACUAGUUUCAAUCCAGCUGGAAAUGCGACAAGUAUGACACAGGCAUAGCUGGAAAAAAUGCAAACAGUUCCAGAAAGGCCUGUGGACUCUUAGUGCAAGCUUUACAAAUUUAGACUUUGCUUAAAUACUGGCAUAGAGGCAGAAAGGAAUUCAGUCACUGUCAGACUACAGUGUUUAUUUACAUACAAACAGACAAAUGAUGAGUGCUGUGUAAAACAGCGUGGAAGACGGGCAUUUUAAACAAUGUUGUUAAAGUACCACUAUCAAUUGUUAUUUGUCUUCAUUUAUGCACCAGUCAGUAUGAUUUAUUAUGGAAAUGACCAUGACAUCACUAUCAUCAGUAUUUUGGCAGGACCAUUUUCUCAAGAACCAGAGGAACCAACACCUUCUUAACUGUAGAUUCUCAGUCUAUGUAAAGUGUACUAUGAUCCUUUAGAAUGAUUUUUUUUCUCCAAAAGCCUUUGCUGCACAUCAAUACAAGACCCUCCACUAUUGGUCUGUGUGGAUGACAUCAGGACUGUCAGAGAAGACAUCCAGGGUCUCAGAUACACAUCAACAGCAUAUCACCACCUCCAGGGGAACAUUAAUUUUAAUUUGGAGACUGGUAAUGUAACAAGCAAACUUCCAACCAAAGAGAUAGAUUUUGUGUGUCUAGUUAGAGCACCUAGGUGGUACCCUGAAGCUGUUUGUAUCAGAGUGGCCUGUUCAGCUUUUAUCCACCAAGGUGCUGCUAUGCAGGUGGUCUGUCCAGCAUGAACUGCAAUGACAUGGAAGACAAGGAAUGUGAGCAAUCAAGUUUCCACUUUAGUUUCUUCCUAGGUUGGCCACACCGUACUGGGUUUGAGCAUGCCCUUUUAUAACCUUUAGAGCUGACAGUGAUCAUUCUCUCCAGAUUGUCCUACCUGGUUUAGUCCCUCUCAGUCUCGAUGUCCUAAGAUACUGCAUGUAGAUUUGUGCUGGAAGCAUGAUGACCUGCUAGCCUAGGCUCCAUGAACACACACCCUGACGCCUCAAGCCCAGUUCCCUCUCAUUCACCAUUCAGACCAGUGAUUAGUACAUUAACAUUUCUAUUCUCUGCAAAAAAGAUGCUGCUAGAGUACAGCUGGCCAACUCCUGGCUCUGUCCUGUCUGCUUCUAGUCACCACAGACAUUGUAGAAUGCUAAUUCAUGAACUUUUGGAAUCCUUAAUCAAAUUAAGUGAGCCAGAUUUUUGCAUAGAUGUAUUCAUUGCAUUUCUUAGUGUUCCUGCCUUCUUCUUAAGUAACAAGCAUAACCCCAUCGUGUAACAACAGGAACCUGAGGUCUCCUUCAAGAUCCCAAGAUCUUUCAGGGACCUUGGCUAAAUUCUGCCUUGACUGAUGGAUUUUAGUAUUAGCCUACUCCUUUGAUUUCCUGUCUCUGAUGAAACAGUUUUUAAAGGAUCAGUAUUUUUUGAAUGCAGGGUAGAAGAGUUGCAGAUUCUAGUGUAACCAUUUCUCUUUUCUCCCCAUGUAUUCUUUAUCACUGCUCUUACAUCUUGAUAUGACAUUCUGCAAAAUUGCUCCCAAGCACAUUCCCAGGUCUACACCAAAUUUGAUCUACAACCAAAUUUCCUUCUAAUACUAUGAUAUCACAAAGCAAGGAGAUGUAACACAGACUGGUCAUAGCUUUGCACAAAGAAGUGUCAUUGUGCACUUCAUUGAUUUAGAUACUUUCUAAACAGUUUUUCUCCAUCUGGCCUGUAUUGCAGAUAAGGUCAUGUUGAGAUCCAAGUAGUGUGGAUGUGUCAUCAAGCUCAGAGCUAAUUCUGUUUCACAAUUUUAUGCAUUGUAGUUCACCAUGCAAAACAGAAAUGUCCUUUGGUGCUGUGGUGCAGGAGCAAUUAAGCAAAAAUAAUGAAUUUGGGGGUAUGGGGGUGGAAAAUCAAGCCUGAAACUAAGAAAGUUUCAUAGAGUGGACUGGGAUUUCCAUCUAACAUUAAAAAUUAGUACGUUCCUCUUUUAAAGCAAAUUAAUCUUUGUUCAUACAGCUGACCUAUAAGGUUAUUAAAAUUGUAUAAGACGUGUCAGUUCUGUAAACUGAAAUGAAAUGUUAACUUUAUGCAGGCUCAGCCUUCUCUUAAAAUGUUCUGGUUUAGCAAGGAGCAGCUUUUGGCUUAGUAACGGGGGGAGCGGGUUGCAGUGAAGACCCAGUAAAGAGUUUGCGGACUCUCUCCCGGCUCCUGGGUUCACACCCACCUCCGGCCCGGCUGGGCCAAUCUGGCGCCUCUGCGAUCACUAUUUAGGGGACAGGAAUUCGGAAUGCGAGGCAGGAGGUGUAAGAGUGAUACAAGAUGGAGGCGACCACGCGGACCCUUCAGCCAGAGAAGGAGGAAGGAAGGAGAAGCAAUAGACCAGAGACUCCUCUGCAAGCCGUGGCGAGAAUGCAAGCUGUGCCCCUGCAAUCUAUGGAGAUCCAUGGCAGGGCUGAGAGUUACCAGCAGCUCCAUGUGGGUGAGCCCGGACGGGCGAGGGACUGUGUGGGGAGACGGCCAUGGCCCAGGCCGUGCUGGAGAGCCUGUGUGCCGCAGAGCAGCCCCACACGAGAGGCAGAGAGGAGCGGCAGCCUUUGGGAAUAAGUGCGCGUCGGAGCAGCCCGGGCAGGGCUGCCAUGCGUGUGAGUUACCCCACGGACUUGCAGGGAGGACUGGUGUGGAGUUCACCCGUCCUGAGGAGGGACAAACGGCUGAAGCUAUC